AGAGUUUGAUCCUGGCUCAGGACGAACGCUGGCGGCGUGCCUAAUACAUGCAAGUCGAACGCUUCUUUUUCCACCGGAGCUUGCUCCACCGGAAAAAGAAGAGUGGCGAACGGGUGAGUAACACGUGGGUAACCUGCCCAUCAGAAGGGGAUAACACUUGGAAACAGGUGCUAAUACCGUAUAACAAUCGAAACCGCAUGGUUUUGAUUUGAAAGGCGCUUUCGGGUGUCGCUGAUGGAUGGACCCGCGGUGCAUUAGCUAGUUGGUGAGGUAACGGCUCACCAAGGCCACGAUGCAUAGCCGACCUGAGAGGGUGAUCGGCCACAUUGGGACUGAGACACGGCCCAAACUCCUACGGGAGGCAGCAGUAGGGAAUCUUCGGCAAUGGACGAAAGUCUGACCGAGCAACGCCGCGUGAGUGAAGAAGGUUUUCGGAUCGUAAAACUCUGUUGUUAGAGAAGAACAAGGAUGAGAGUAACUGUUCAUCCCUUGACGGUAUCUAACCAGAAAGCCACGGCUAACUACGUGCCAGCAGCCGCGGUAAUACGUAGGUGGCAAGCGUUGUCCGGAUUUAUUGGGCGUAAAGCGAGCGCAGGCGGUUUCUUAAGUCUGAUGUGAAAGCCCCCGGCUCAACCGGGGAGGGUCAUUGGAAACUGGGAGACUUGAGUGCAGAAGAGGAGAGUGGAAUUCCAUGUGUAGCGGUGAAAUGCGUAGAUAUAUGGAGGAACACCAGUGGCGAAGGCGGCUCUCUGGUCUGUAACUGACGCUGAGGCUCGAAAGCGUGGGGAGCAAACAGGAUUAGAUACCCUGGUAGUCCACGCCGUAAACGAUGAGUGCUAAGUGUUGGAGGGUUUCCGCCCUUCAGUGCUGCAGCUAACGCAUUAAGCACUCCGCCUGGGGAGUACGACCGCAAGGUUGAAACUCAAAGGAAUUGACGGGGGCCCGCACAAGCGGUGGAGCAUGUGGUUUAAUUCGAAGCAACGCGAAGAACCUUACCAGGUCUUGACAUCCUUUGACCACUCUAGAGAUAGAGCUUCCCCUUCGGGGGCAAAGUGACAGGUGGUGCAUGGUUGUCGUCAGCUCGUGUCGUGAGAUGUUGGGUUAAGUCCCGCAACGAGCGCAACCCUUAUUGUUAGUUGCCAUCAUUCAGUUGGGCACUCUAGCAAGACUGCCGGUGACAAACCGGAGGAAGGUGGGGAUGACGUCAAAUCAUCAUGCCCCUUAUGACCUGGGCUACACACGUGCUACAAUGGGAAGUACAACGAGUCGCGAAGUCGCGAGGCUAAGCUAAUCUCUUAAAGCUUCUCUCAGUUCGGAUUGCAGGCUGCAACUCGCCUGCAUGAAGCCGGAAUCGCUAGUAAUCGCGGAUCAGCACGCCGCGGUGAAUACGUUCCCGGGCCUUGUACACACCGCCCGUCACACCACGAGAGUUUGUAACACCCGAAGUCGGUGAGGUAACCUUUUUGGAGCCAGCCGCCUAAGGUGGGAUAGAUGAUUGGGGUGAAGUCGUAACAAGGUAGCCGUAUCGGAAGGUGCGGCUGGAUCACCU
rnacentral:rRNA from 1 species